UACGUAGGGGGCAAGCGUUGUCCGGAAUCAUUGGGCGUAAAGAGCGCGUAGGCGGUCCGGUAAGUCCGCUCUGAAAGUCCGGGGCUCAACCCCGGGAGGCGGGCGGAUACUGCCGGGCUAGAGUCCGGAAGAGGCGAGUGGAAUUCCCGGUGUAGCGGUGAAAUGCGCAGAUAUCGGGAGGAACACCUAUGGCGAAGGCAGCUCGCUGGGACGUUACUGACGCUGAGACGCGAAAGCGUGGGGAGCAAACAGG
rnacentral:rRNA from 1 species